rnacentral:rRNA from 1 species
UACGAAGGGGGCUAGCGUUGUUCGGAAUUACUGGGCGUAAAGCGCACGUAGGCGGAUUGUUAAGUUAGGGGUGAAAGCCCCGGGCUCAACCUGGGAAUGGCAUUUGAUACUCUGAGGCUGGAGUACGGGAGAGGAGAGUGGAAUUCCCAGUGUAGAGGUGAAAUUCGUAGAUAUUGGGAAGAACACCGGUGGCGAAGGCGGCUCUCUGGACCGUAACUGACGCUGAGGCGCGAAAGCGUGGGGAGCAAACAGG